rnacentral:rRNA from 1 species
GAUGAACGCUGGCGGCGUGCCUAAUACAUGCAAGUCGAGCGAACAGACGAGGAGCUUGCUCCUCUGAUGUUAGCGGCGGACGGGUGAGUAACACGUGGAUAACCUACCUAUAAGACUGGGAUAACUUCGGGAAACCGGAGCUAAUACCGGAUAACAUGUUGAACCGCAUGGUUCAACAGUGAAAGACGGUCUUGCUGUCACUUAUAGGUGGAUCCGCGCCGCAUUAGCUAGUUGGUAAGGUAACGGCUUACCAAGGCAACGAUGCGUAGCCGACCUGAGAGGGUGAUCGGCCACACUGGAACUGAGACACGGUCCAGACUCCUACGGGAGGCAGCAGUAGGGAAUCUUCCGCAAUGGGCGAAAGCCUGACGGAGCAACGCCGCGUGAGUGAAGAAGGUCUUCGGAUCGUAAAACUCUGUUAUUAGGGAAGAACAAAUGUGUAAGUAACUAUGCACGUCUUGACGGUACCUAAUCAGAAAGCCACGGCUAACUACGUG